AACGAACGCUUGCGGCGCGCCUAAUACAUGCAAGUCGAGCGAGAAAGUACUUCGGUAUGAGUAAAGCGGCGGACGGGUGAGGAACACGUAGAUAAUCUGCCUUAGAGUGGGGGAUAACUAAUCGAAAGAUUAGCUAAUACCGCAUAAGACCACAAGGGCUUCGGCUCAAGGGGUUAAAGGAGCAAUUCGCUCUAAGAUGAGUCUGCGUCCGAUUAGCUAGUUGGUGAGGUAAUGGCUCACCAAGGCAACGAUCGGUAACUGGUCUGAGAGGAUGACCAGUCACACUGGAACUGAGACACGGUCCAGACUCCUACGGGAGGCAGCAGUAGGGAAUAUUGCACAAUGGACGAAAGUCUGAUGCAGCGACGCCGCGUGAGUGAUGAAGGCCUUCGGGUUGUAAAACUCUGUGAUAAGGGAAGAUGAUGACGGUACCUUAUCAGAGAAGACCGGCUAACUUCGUGCCAGCCGCCGCGGUAACAC
rnacentral:rRNA from 1 species